GUGGAUUAGAUACCCGGGUAGUCCACGCCGUAAACGUUGGGCACUAGGUGUGGGGAGGAAUCAACCCUUUCCGUGCCGUAGCUAACGCAUUAAGUGCCCCGCCUGGGGAGUACGGCCGCAAGGCUAAAACUCAAAGGAAUUGACGGGGGCCCGCACAAGCGGCGGAGCAUGUUGCUUAAUUCGAGGCAACGCGAAGAACCUUACCUGGGUUUGACAUGUACCGAAAAGCCAUAGAGAUAUGGUGUCCUUCGGGGCGGUACACAGGUGGUGCACGGCUGUCGUCAACU
rnacentral:rRNA from 1 species